rnacentral:rRNA from 1 species
UACAGAGGGGGCAAGCGUUGUUCGGAAUUACUGGGCGUAAAGGGCGCGUAGGCGGCCUGUUAAGUCGAACGUGAAAUCCCCGGGCUCAACCCGGGAACUGCGUCCGAUACUGGCAGGCUUGAAUUCGGGAGAGGGAUGCGGAAUUCCAGGUGUAGCGGUGAAAUGCGUAGAUAUCUGGAGGAACACCGGUGGCGAAGGCGGCUUGCCAGAACGCCCUCGACGGUGAGGGAUGAAAGCUGGGGGAGCAAGCCGG